AUAAUUUAACCUUAUAAAAAAAUUGGUUUUUACAUUUUUUAAAAAAAAUUUUUGUGUUAAAGUAAUUUUAUAUUAAAAAAUAAUUUAGAUUUACUGACAAGGACAGAAUUUAUAAAUAAUUAUAAGUAAAAUAUAAUUUGUACCUUUUGUAUCAGGGUUAAUUAAAAAAUUUUAAAAAUUUAUUUUUCCCGAAAUAUAAUGAUUUAAAAUAAUUUGUUAGUUGUUAUUGUAUAUAUAUUAAUAAAUUUAUUUUGGAAAUGAUAUUUUAUCAAAUUAUAUGAUAUCUGGUUUUUUGGGAAUUGAAUUUAAUUCAGAAGAAAUAUUAUANNNNNNNNNNNNUUAUUAAAUUUUAUAUUUCUUUAAACUUACUUAGGAUAAGCUGAUUAUGUAUAUCUAUAAUUAAUUAUUAAUAAUUAAUCUAAUAGGCUUGAAAACAGCCACAAAUAAAUUAAGUUGUAUUUUGUUUUUUUAUAUAAUAUAUUUAAUUAAUUUUAGAUUAAUACCAAAAAAUUGAGUUUAAUAAUUUUAUUUUAAUUAUAAUGAUUAAAUUAGUAUAAUUUUGUAAAUAAUAUUUAUAAUUUAGGCAAAAAAAAUUUUCACCUGUUUAUCAAAAACAUGUCUUUUAGUAAGAAUUAAAAGUCUAAUCUGCCCAAUGAUUAAAAUUAAAUGGCCGCGGUAAAUUGACCGUGCAAAGGUAGCAUAAUAAAUAGUCUUUUAAUUGGAGGCUUGAAUGAAUGAUUGGAUGAAAAAUUGACUUAAUUAAUAUUAAUAAUUGAAAUUGAUUUUUAAGUAAAAAAGCUUAAAUUUAUGAGUGGGACGAGAAGACCCUAUAGAAUUUUAAAAAUUUUUCUUGAGUUUAUUUUAAAUAGUUAAUUAAUUUUUUUUUUAUUUAAGUAAUUUUUUUGUUGGGGUGAUAUUAAAAUAUAAUUAACUUUUAAUAAAAGUUUCAUAAAUAUAUGUAAUUAUUGAUCCAAAAUUUUGAUUAUAAGAAUAAAUUACCUUAGGGAUAACAGCGUAAUUAAUUUGGAGAGUUCAUAUCGAUAAAUAAGAUUGCGACCUCGAUGUUGGAUUAAGAAUAGGGAUUGAAGCAAAAUUUAUUAUUUCUGGGUCUGUUCGACCUUUAAUAUUCUUACAUGAUCUGAGUUCAGACCGGCGUGAGCCAGGUUGGUUUCUAUCUACUUAGAAUAUUUUUAAUGUUAGUACGAAAGGACCUCAUUAAAUAAUUUUAUUAU
rnacentral:rRNA from 1 species